GAUGAAGAACGCAGCGAAAUGCGAUAAGUAGUGUGAAUUGCAGAAUUCAGUGAAUCAUCGAAUCUUUGAACGCACAUUGCGCCCCUUGGUAUUCCAUGGGGCAUGCCUGUUCGAGCGUCAUCUACACCCUCAAGCUCUGCUUGGUGUUGGGCGUCUGUCCCGCCCCCGCGCGUGGACUCGCCCCAAAUCCAUUGGCAGCGUUCCUUGCCCCCUCUCGCGCAGCACAUUGCGCUUCUCGAGGGCGGCUCGCGGGACGCGAUCCAGCAAGAUGACCACCGUCUUUGACCUCGGAUCAGGUAGGGAUACCCGCUGAACUUAAGCAUAUCAAUAAGCGGAGGA
rnacentral:misc_RNA from 1 species